rnacentral:misc_RNA from 1 species
GAAAAAAGCGAUUUCCAAUCAUUCCAAAAGUAGUUUCCAACAGAACAAAUGAAGAAACAACUUCAUGCAAUCAACAAAUAAAUAAAUACAUAAGAGAAAAUUCACAAUUUUCCAAGAUACAAUGAGACCUUUGCUAGAAUGUUUGCAGGAGGAACUACCUUGGAAAGAACAGAAGAUACUGAACUUUUCCCCUAAUUCCAGGAAAUAUAUACUAAGAAUAAUUGUCCGCUAAAUAAUACAUGUGUACCAUAAAUGCCAACUCUCUUGCGCAUGAAAUACAGUCAACCAUAACAGAUGAACAUCCUAAGCUUCCUUAUAAUAACUAAAGACACAGUAAAAUCCAACUGUACAACAGCAGAUUCUCCAAAACAAAUGGGCUCCUCAGCCUCAGAAAUCUCUCCCUUCAACCAACCCACCACAAGUAGCCGCUGACACUCACCACAAAAGAAUUACAAUUGCUCCUUAUAAGAAAUCUUUUGCAUUUCUACAUUGAAAUAUCUCCUUCAAUAGCUCCCUGACCUGCCACUAGUCCACCAAAUUUAGAAUGAAUAACAGAAACCUUGAGCUAUGGUAAUAUCUACUGCGAUUUACAUAUAGAGGUUCCUAACAGCCAGGUAGUUAUACAUGAUACCUUGAGAAGAAUAUGUAACUAAUCUUUCUUUGUUUGGAGACCAAAUGACAGGAGCAGCAGCACAAGUAAGAAACAUUAGCACAAGCAGAUUAAUUUUCCAAAUUCCAACUUCUUCCAAAGCAGAUGCUAGAUAACCUAUGUGGCUUAAACUUUAGAAAAUUAAAUAUAAUUACAAUAUUCACUGGCAAAGUGAAUUUCAAUGCUCAGAACAAAUUUCAGUUCUCAAUAAUUAACAUCCCAAGCACAUUUUGGGAGCAAAUUCAUAGGACACAAUAAAGGCUAAUGGGAAAUAAACAGUCUGAGAACCAGUAUAUGGACGUUUCAGGAGCCAAUACUAAUGAAUCAUCAAUGAACAUUUAGCAAUGUUCCAGGCGCAUACCUCAAAAAAUUUGGAAACUAUGAAUGAACCAGCAAGCAAAAUGUUUCUCCUUUCCUUUUGAUAAGAGAAGAAAUUUUAUUGAAAAAAGAAAGAAAUGAAAGUACCCUUUGGUAAAGAAGAAAUCCUCCUACAAAACUCAACAGGCAACUACAAACAAGAACAUAAAAGAUGAGCUAAAAAAGCAGUGCCCUACAAUCAAGUUGGAUAAAAAUCAAGGGAACCUCUGUAAUCUGUGGAUGAAAUGGAACCACAGAAUGGUUGAAGGAGAUGAACACCCAGGGCUGAAGAUAAAUAAGUAACUUCUAUGCAAUUUCCACAUAGAAGAGAGAUACUUAAUAUUUUAAAAUCCUCGUUCAUAAUUUCUAGAUCUAC